rnacentral:rRNA from 1 species
CAGUAGCCGCGGUAAUACGAAGGGGGCUAGCGUUGAUCGGAAUUACUGGGCGUAAAGCGCACGUAGGCGGCUUGGUAAGUUAGAGGUGAAAGCCUGGAGCUCAACUCCAGAAUUGCCUUUAAGACUGCCGAGCUAGCAGGUGAGAGAGGUAAGUGGAAUUCCGAGUGUAGAGGUGAAAUUCGUAGAUAUUCGGAAGAACACCAGUGGCGAAGGCGGCUUACUGGCUCAUACUGGACGCUGAGGUGCGAAAGCGUGGGGAGCAAACAGGAUUAGAUACCCCAGUAGUCCCUGUCUCUUAUAC